rnacentral:lncRNA from 1 species
UAAAGAAGAAGAGCCAAAAAGGAAGACCAUCACAUUUAAGUCAACCACCACAUCUAAAGAAAGUUAUGAGUCAAGAGGAUGAAAGUGAAGAAGAAGCUGAGGACAUGGGGCUGCUAACAAGAAAAUUCAAAAGGUUCAUUAUGAAGAAAAGCUUAAAGAAAUAAGAAGAUGGAGGAGAAGAAAAAAAAGGAAGUGUCACUUGUUACAAUUACAGCAAAAGGGGACACUAUAAACUGAAUUAUCCCCUACUUAAAAAAAAACCCAAAAGAGCAAAAGGAUAGCUAUGAUGGGC